AGGAUUAUAGUUUAUUAAAAUAUUUGAUUUGCAAUCAAAAGAUAUUAUAUUUAAUUUAUCUU
rnacentral:tRNA from 1 species